rnacentral:rRNA from 1 species
AGAGUUUGAUCAUGGCUCAGGAUGAACGCUAGCGGCAGGCCUAAUACAUGCAAGUCAAGGGGGCAGCAAUGUCACCGGCGGACGGGUGCGUAACGCGUACACAACAUGCCUUCGAGCGGGGGACAGCGGCGGGAAACUGCCGGUAAUACCCCAUGCGGUCGCGGCGCGGCAUUGCGCUGCGACCAAAGUCACGGCGCUCGGAGAUUGGUGUGCGUCCGAUUAGCUAGUUGGCGGGGUAACGGCCCACCAAGGCGACGAUCGGUAGGGGGUGUGAGAGCAUGGCCCCCCACAUGGGUACUGAGACACGGACCCAACUCCUACGGGAGGCAGCAGUAAGGAAUAUUGGACAAUGGGCGGAAGCCUGAUCCAGCCAUGCCGCGUGCAGGACGAAGGCGCUCAGCGUUGUAAACUGCUUUUGGACGGGGACAAUAAUCUCGACUUGUCGGGACUUGAGGGUACCGUCAGAAUAAGCACCGGCUAACUCCGUGCCAGCAGCCGCGGUAAUACGGAGGGUGCGAGCGUUAUCCGGAAUCACUGGGUUUAAAGGGUGCGUAGGCGGCCUGUUAAGUCAGUUGUGAAAUGCCCUCGCUCAACGAGUGGGACUGCGAAUGAUACUGACGGGCUUGAAACAGGUUGAGGCAGGCGGAAUGUGGCAUGUAGCGGUGAAAUGCUUAGAUAUGCCAUAGAACACCGAUUGCGAAGGCAGCUUGCUGGGCCUUGUUUGACGCUGAGGCACGAAAGCGUGGGGAGCAAACAGGAUUAGAUACCCUGGUAGUCCACGCCCUAAACGAU